GUGCUUCCUCGGUCUCGGUUCGAGGCGGGGGCACGGGGAGGGUCCGGACGGGCGGGCGGGAACAGCAGCCCUUUCCCUGUGAGUGCGCGGGGAGGCCGCGGAAUGGCAAAACAAAAUCACACCCUUCACUUUAUUUCUAGCAGAUAUAAAAGCACAGAUUGCCUUAGACACUGGAGAGCUAUGCGGAGAUUUUACUUUGCAAAUGGAGCAGCAUGCUGGCAGUAUAAAGGACUGAAGACUUUGAAGAGCUCUUUUGAGGAUAGAAGUCAGCUCAUGGUCUCCUUCAGACUGCAAUCUUAUUCAUUGUUCUUUCCAUGUUUUUUUUUUUUAAACACUUACCAAGAUGAAUUUCAAUUUAAGAAAGACUCCCAGUUAUCUGGAUAUACAUUAUAUAGAUAGGUAACACAGCUACAGUUAAUGCACUUUUUAUACCUCAAUAUAAUGCAAAAUACUACAAAAAAUACCUUUACAUUGGAGGCUUAAAUUAUCCAGACAAACAGAAAUAUUCCACAAAUCCAGUUACCUCACUAGCACCUUAACAAAACUUUAACUACUGUGUGCAAUAAAUAGUCUCUGCAGAUGGCAGAUGAGGUAAGCUUUUGGGGCAUUGCUGUUUAUAUAGUGCAGAAGAUUUUAAUCUCUAGCUCUACCAGACCAUUACUUAGAAAAUAAAAUAAUAAAUCAUAUCAAUGUUUUGAAAAUAAAUUGUUCAUAACACUGUAUUACCUGGAGUGAUGCCAUAUUUUACAUACCAUUGAGAAUGGCUUCUAGUAAGACAUAGUUUCAGAACAGAAAAUAUUUGUUGUUGUAUCUAUCUUAUCUAUUUGUAUGUUUCUAUAUUUCACUAGCCUUUGGAUCUUAAAGCAUAAGAGAAAUCUGACAUGGUUGAACAUAUUUAUGAGUGAUUAAUGAUACCUCAGUGCAGGUAAUUGAGUUAGUUGUCAUUAACCUAAAUGUGCCAGCUCAAAUAACAAUCACUGGAUAAUUAUCUACAUUUCUCCUGAGGGGUUUUUUAGGUGUCUUUAAAUAACCUUGCUGUUGCCCCUUUGCUUCUUGGAUGUCUAUGUAGGUCUUAACUGAAAGGUUGGGUUUUUUCUAUGUACUAACCAUUUUUUAAUUAGUUUUGAGAAAAUACUUGCCAGAUGUCUAUGGUAACAAUGAAAGGAGAUAUGCUAAAACUGUUAAGUGGGUUUAAAUGAGACCUUAGACCCCAUCUUUGAAUUUCCCCCUAAUAAUUAGGUGUAGGAAAACAGUGAUUUAACAUUCAUUGCUUGUACUUAAUUGUAUUAAGCAGUGACUGGUGGUAGUUCCCACCUCACCCCUAAAUUCUGCCCUAUUUUCUGAGAGACCUGAUGACUAAGCUGUGGAAAUGGUUUCUAAUGGGAUACACUCUAAAAGGUUAAUUUUUCCUAGUGUGAAAUAUAGAAAGAGAAUUAACAGUAAACUUUAUAUUAUUUUGAGAAAGUCUGGCAGUAGUCUUUUCUGCUUCUUGGAGGGGUUGCGCUGCUGCUACAUUCUAAGUAUGUAACAGGUACUUCCCUUACUCAGUUUUAAGGUAAAACUUCAAAAUAGUCCCAGAUUUCAGAAAAGUAACUGCAGACAUGCUGAAAAGAAGGGAGGUCAAAUGGGGCUUUUUGUUACAAAAACCUUGAAAGAAGAAUAGUUACUGACAGAGGAGAUAGAAGAUAAAAAGAGAAGAGUAGUGAUACCAAAUUAUCCUUUGCAUACACUCCAUAAUUGACUAUAGAUAUAAAUGAUUUGUUUGCCAGGAACAAGACAAAAUCUGCCACCAAGGUAUACCGAACAGGCAAUUGUUUAACUGACUUCUCAAGGCCAUUUAUUCUAUGAUAACAUUGCUUUCUAAGGUAACUGCAGCCAGGUACACUUGAACAGAGAGGCAUUUCUUGAAGCCAGACCAAAUCAUGCUGUGACAGCUGUGAGUAAAGAAGCAGAUUUAUGUUUUAAAGUGUGGGAAACAAGAACUGAAAAAUAACCAGUUGAAAAAGUGGCAACAUUUAGCCAUGAUUUGUCUAAGGGUAAGUUUUCCAGUGUCGUACCAGGCUUAGAGUACUUUUUUAUGGGUCAAGUCAUGCCUUCAUGCCUCUUUAAAAUCCAGAUACCUGGAUUUGCUAUAGGCUAACUCAUGAUGGGUUCCUUCCAAGCUAAUUGUUACACACAGAAAAUGAAAACUAUAAUAAAAUUUCAUAUUCUGCACAAAGAUGUAGCCUUAGAAUGAAAGGAAGAUUAUUAAGCCACAAAUAUAUAACACAACCAAGAGUAUGUGCCACAACAAGCAGUGUGUUGCAGGAUAGAUGCCAGCUCUUGCUUUGCUUCACUCAGUAAAAUCAAUCAUCUGUUAAAAAUUAAUACAAAAGAAUGAAAUCAUGACAUUGUAAGAGAGACAGUGAAAGAAAUAAAAUGUUUCGAUUAAGUAUUCACUUCGUACUAUAGGUUUAUUACCAAGUAUUUAUUUACUAACUAACUGAGCAAUGUAACAAAGAUAAGGCAUUUUUUACUCUAUUCCUACCAUGGUCCACAGACUCUGGUAAACUCUCCAUUUCUCUAAGACUAAAAAUCUUUAAAGAUAAUCAGUUGUGGAUAUAGAACAAAUUAGAUCUUCCAACUCACCAUAGUAUAACACCUUUAUUGAACUGCCAGUCAAUAUGACCCUGGAUUUUAGGACCAUGAACUUCCAGUAGUUCGAGGAGUUAGUGAAUGGGACCCGCUGUGAAAUUGCCCUCAGGGAUAUUAAAGCAGAACAGAGCUGGCACUUGUCUUAGAGCACAAGAGUUUUUGACUCGUAUCUGUAAGAAAUCAGGCAGGGAAGGCAGGAGACAAGUGUGGCUGAGUGAAGACCUUCUAGUCAACCCAAAAUGUAAGCAGGAAAUGCAUGGGCAGUGGAACCAAGGACUCAUAUCCUGGAAGGAAAAUAAGGACACUGCAUGGAUGUGCAUAGUUGUGAUCAGGGAAACUAUUUGGCAAAGAAUGUGAAGUACAAUAAGGGGACUUCUACAGGUAUGUUGGUCAGAAAGGAAGGUUAAAGAAAAUGUACUUAUGGAUGAAAAAUUGGAUAUGAACUGGCAAUAUGUGCUUUCAGCCAAGAAAACCAGACAUAUUCUGGUAUGCAUAAAAAUCAGCAUGGCUGUCAGGGCAAGGGCAGGUGAUUCUGCCUCUCUACUCUAUGCUUCUGAGAUCCUACAUGGAGUACAUAGUCUAGCUCUGGGGUCGGCAGUACAAGAAAGACAUGACCUUAACUAUGAGUGGGUCUAGAGGAGGGCCACGAGAAAUGGUCAAGAGGGUUGAAACACCUCUCCUAUGAAGAGAGGCUGAGAGACCUGGGGUUGUUUAGCCUGGAGGAAAAAAGGCCCCAGGGAGACCUAAUUGCAACCUUUCAAUAUGUAAAAGGAGCUUAUAAGAGAGGCAAACGAGACCUGUGGUGACAGGACAAGGGGCAAUCAUUUUAAACUGGAAGACUUGAUUCAGAUCAGAUAUAAGGAAGAAGUUUUUUAUGAUGAAUAUGGUGAGGCGCUGGAACAAGGUGCCCUGAGAAAUUGUGGAUGCAACAUCACUAGAAGUGUUCAACAUGAAGUCAGAUGGGUCUUUGAGCAGCCUGGUCUAGGGAAAGAUGUCCCUAGACCCCCAUGACAGGGGUAGGUGGACUAGAUGAUAUUCGAAGGUACCUUCCAACCAAACCCAUUUUGUUAUUUUGUGAUUCCAUGAUUCUAUGAUUCAAUUAUUUUAAGAAUAUUUAUUUGUCUUCUAGAGAGCAAAAGAGUCACUAGGAAUCGUGAGAAAGCAGAAUUCUCAAACUAUUUCCCUUUUCCAGAAUAAAGGAGCCAGGAUCCCACCAACAUGAAAUGUUCAAGGAUGAUGUGCAAGUUGCUGUUUUUUUGAAAAGACAGCAACCAGUUCAGACAUCCACUUUCACUUUGACAUCUUACAAAGGAACCCAUCUUUUGCCUGUGGUCUCUAAAGAAAGAUAUCUAACCAUUUUUUUCAGACAUUUACAGCAUUCUCUCUAAACAGAUCCUUAGAAAUGCAGUUAGUCCUUAAAACAGGAACACAUCUUUCCCAUUCUUGUAAUAUAUUUACUCAUUCUCUGGUUCACUUCCUUUAUAUCUCAUCAAUACUUGCUUGCAAGAUUAAAAAACAGCAGGAAAAAGUGCUGAAGUCUGGCAGAUGGCCUUCAGGUUAAUUAUUAGCAGAAGUCAUUGCCCCUCAAAUGAACAAUGAUCACCUGCAGAGAAUGAUAGCAAGCCGUUGAGUGAUUUUAGAGUAUGUUUGGGAUGUAACUCCACAGGAGCCACCGAAACCAGCUUUUUCCUGGCUCACAUGCAGAAAACUGACUGGUAUGCGAGCCUGCUUGAGAUUCCCUCAUGCAUGACGUGCUCGUUUCUGUAGCCCAUGAACCCAGGUUUCCAGAAACAGAAUCCUUUCUCUUGAUCCUGCAACAGAUCAGGAGAAACCUAGAUGCUUCCUCCACUGCCAGGCAAGUCAGUCCUCCUUUGCCGGUUGUAUAGUGUUUUUACUGAGGUUUUGGAAAGUGUGCCCAGGGAUGUUUCCACCAUGAUUCUGGACUGCUCUGGAUGUAGAAGGUACAGCGAUACUUACUCAGACCCCUCAGGAAAACAGUAGAGGAGACCCAUAACCUUGACUGCAAAGAUGUUACAACAAAGCAGAGAACCUGGAGGACUCAAGACAUUUUGUAGGAAAAAACCCACUCCACACAAUGACAAUUUAAAGACAUAAAGUUGGUGACUGACAAGGUAUUCUACAAGAUGUCUUCAAGAAUGUCACUUGGUUUUAAAAAAGAAAUAACAGAAAUAUUCCAGUUUUUCCUCUCAGAGGCAGAGCAAUCCCAGAAACUUGUAAGGUACCAUGGUCCCAAAAGGCACAAAAUGGUUGAUGAAGAAGAAAAGAAAGCAUACCUUUUCUAAAAACAUAAGCAAAAGACUUAACAAUCAGAAAAGCAUAUUAAAUACCAACUGAAAUUGAAAACUAACAAGUUUUGAAGUUGACUUAUAGCUGUGCUCAUUGAGAAGACUCAGGGAUUCAGAGACUCUCUAGCAGAACUCAAUCAUGCUUAUUUUAGUCCAAAAGAAGCUUUGAUACAGAGAGGAGAAAUAUUUGAUCCAGUUUACUCUAUUUUAAAGGCAGUGAAUGACGAAAAUGAACCUCUUUCAUAAGAAUGUGUGUCAGUGAAAAUGCAAAGCAGCAUGAUCCUCUUGUCCUCUCAGUGUGUCUUCUGUGCAUGCCAUAUACAUACACACAGACACACACA